rnacentral:rRNA from 1 species
ACGGGAGGCAGCAGUGGGGGAUAUUGCACAAUGGGGGAAACCCUGAUGCAGCGACGCCGCGUGAGUGAUGAAGUAUUUCGGUAUGUAAAGCUCUAUCAGCAGGGAAGAAAAUGACGGUACCUGACUAAGAAGCACCGGCUAAAUACGUGCCAGCAGCCGCGGUAAUACGUAUGGUGCAAGCGUUAUCCGGAUUUACUGGGUGUAAAGGGAGCGUAGACGGAUGGCUAAGUCUGAUGUGAAAGGUGAGGGCUCAACCCUUAAACUGCAUUGGAAACUGGUCAUCUAGAGUGUCGGAGAGGUAAGUGGAAUUCCUAGUGUAGCGGUGAAAUGCGUAGAUAUUAGGAGGAACACCAGUGGCGAAGGCGGCUUACUGGACGAUAACUGACGUUGAGGCUCGAAAGCGUGGGGAGCAAACAGGAUUAGAUACCCUGGUA